rnacentral:tRNA from 1 species
CGGGGUGUAAUAUAACGGUAGUAUACACGAUUCGGGUUCGUGCAGUCCGAGUUCAAAUCUCGGCACCCCGA